rnacentral:rRNA from 1 species
UAAGGAAUAUUGGACAAUGGAGGCAACUCUGAUCCAGCCAUGCCGCGUGAAGGAAUAAGGCCCUAUGGGUUGUAAACUUCUUUUAGACGGGACAAAACCCCUUUACGUGUAAAGGGUUGAUGGUACUGUCAGAAUAAGCAUCGGCUACCUUCGUGCCAGCAGCAGCGGUAAUACGAAGGAUGCAAGCGUUAUCCGGAAUUAUUGGGUUUAAAGGGUGCGUAGGCGGACUAAUAAGUCAGUGGUGAAAGCCUGCAGCUUAACUGCGGAAUUGCCAUUGAUACUGUUAGUCUUGAGUACAGUUGAGGUAGGCGGAAUGUGUCAUGUAGCGGUGAAAUGCUUAGAUAUGACACAGAACACCGAUUGCGAAGGCAGCUUGCUAAGCUGUAACUGACGCUGAGGCACGAAAGCGUGGGGAGCAAACA